rnacentral:rRNA from 1 species
GGCACCCGUCACGUAGCUCCUUCGACGAGUCGAGUUGUUUGGGAAUGCAGCUCUAAAUGGGUGGUAAAUUCCAUCUAAAGCUAAAUACCGGCCAGAGACCGAUAGCGCACAAGUAGAGUGAUCGAAAGAUGAAAAGCACUUUGGAAAGAGAGUUAAACAGCACGUGAAAUUGUUGAAAGGGAAGCGCAUGCUACCAGACUCGACGGCGGAAGCUCCGCCGGUNUUCUGACCACGGCCGACUCGCCGCCGUCGGGCCAGCAUCGCGUGGGCGCNCCGGACAAAGGCGCGGGGAAUGUGGCCCCCCUCUGGGGGGGUGUUAUAGCNNCGCGUGCGAUGCGGCGCCGCCCGCGCGAGGUCCGCGCUUNGGCUAGGAUGCUGNNNUNAUGGUCGCAUGCGGCCCG